UUAUAAUCGGUUUGUUUGCACGGGUUCCUGCUGCUUUGUAACCAAUAAAUGUGCUUGUGAAAAGAAUUUAGUGUUUGAUUUUUCCAAGAGCAGUGAAAAUGUUUAAAAUAUUGGUUCAAAGCUUGGCGAAAAACUCGUGUGAAAGCCGAGCACCGUCACAUAUUGCCGCAGUGACGUGUGUAAAGAAUUCAUUGAUUUUACCUGCGGCCAAUAAUCGUUCAAUUGCCACGAGUACUAUAGCACGUCGCCAUUUUCUUUUUCUAACCAACAGAAGACCAGUGAGCUUUGCUUUUCAUCAUCAAGAUCAACCAGCAGGCAGCGGAAAGGACGCAGUAGAGGAGUUUAAGAAGAUUAAGAACACAUUCUUAACAAAUUCAAGUGGAAUAAUCAACUCCGGUAGCUUCUACAGGUAUUUUCACAAUACAAGCGGAAAUUUAGUGGAAGCAGAAGCGUCGCCUGCAGAAAAGCAAAAGUCUUCGUUAAAAACCAGUAAAAAGCAUUCGUUUACAAAUUCAUCUUUGUACAUAGAUCCAGACGAAAUGGCACCUCAUGAUAGGAAUUUUGGCGCUCGUACAGCACGUGGUGGAGAUGAUCGUCAUGCCAGACAUGGAGGCGGUGGCAUGCGCAAUGGUGGCGCUGGCGGUAGUGGAAGUGAUUUCCAUGGUGUGCGAAACGGUCGUGUUGACAAGAGCCGUGGAGGUCCUGGUGGCGGACGUGGAGGUAGCGGAGGCUUUGGUGGCGGCAGUGGUUUCGGAGGUGGAUAUGGCGGCGGAAAUCGUGGUGGCACCCAAGAUCUUACUCUCGGAACUGUUGAUUUCUCAAAUCUCGCACCAUUCAAAAAGAAUUUCUAUGAGGAACACCCAGUUGUGGCGAACCGAUCUCCUUAUGAAGUGCAACGUUAUAGGGAUGAACAUGAAAUUACUAUCCGUGGAAAUGCCCCCAAUCCCAUUCAAGACUUCGGUGAAGCAUAUUUCCCUGAUUAUGUAAUGAAGGAGGUACGUCGCCAAGGUUAUAAGGCGCCAACAGCUAUUCAGGCACAAGGUUGGCCAAUUGCCAUGAGUGGUUCCAACUUUGUCGGUAUUGCACAGACCGGGUCGGGCAAAACUCUUGGAUACAUUUUACCAGCGAUCGUACACAUUAACAACCAGAAACCAUUAGAGCGCGGAGAUGGACCUAUCGCUUUGGUCUUGGCACCGACACGAGAAUUGGCUCAACAGAUCCAACAAGUUGCCACUGAAUUUGGCUCUUCAUCGUACGUGCGAAACACAUGUGUGUUUGGUGGAGCACCGAAAGGAGGUCAAAUGCGCGACUUGCAGCGUGGCUGUGAAAUCGUCAUUGCCACCCCAGGUCGUUUAAUUGAUUUUCUUGCAAUGAAUGCCACCAAUCUGAAGCGUUGUACAUAUCUGGUAUUGGAUGAGGCUGAUCGUAUGUUGGAUAUGGGUUUUGAGCCUCAAAUUCGCAAGAUUCUCUCACAGAUUCGUCCCGAUCGUCAGACACUUAUGUGGUCUGCAACUUGGCCCAAAGAAGUUAAGCAAUUGGCUGAAGAUUUCCUUGGCAACUACAUUCAAAUCAAUAUUGGUUCUUUGGAAUUGUCGGCAAAUCAUAAUAUCCGCCAAGUAGUUGACGUUUGUGAAGAACAUGACAAAGAAGACAAGUUAAAGGCUUUGCUUUCUGAAAUUUAUGAUACCAGCGAAAACCCAGGCAAGAUCAUCAUCUUCGUGGAGACCAAACGUCGUGUAGACAACUUAGUUCGCUUCAUUCGCAGCUUCGGUGUGCGCUGUGGCGCCAUUCACGGAGACAAGUCACAGUCGGAACGUGAUUACGUCUUACGUGAAUUCCGUUCUGGAAAAUCGAACAUUCUCGUAGCAACUGAUGUCGCUGCGCGUGGUUUGGAGGCCGAUUAUUGUAGUAUGGUGGGGAUAAAAUGAUCAACUUUUGAAAUGACGCAAUUCACUAGGAUUGCGUUAAUAAGUGAACUCUUGAAUUUUUUCGCAAAAGUAUCCGCCGAAAAGCUCUUUGAACGGAGCGUUUCUAUUAAAGCCGAAUGAAAGGUGCGGCGGUGGCGGCAGUACUCUACACAUUCCAAUGCAAAAGAGGGAUGUCGUCGGAACACCUGCUGCCACACGUUUGCACGCAACGUCAUUGCACAUUUGAGGAGAGAUAUAAUACGCAACAGCAGAUGGAUACGCUUAUCUAGCACGUACCACGUACCUGUGCGAAAAAGCGUUUCAGUGCAACUUAGCGUAUACACAAAUACUCCAGACUACAAGAAAAAAAGCAAAUGGCGGAAAUAUUCGUUCACAAUACGCGAAAUGUAUGUCGCGUCGUCGUGUAAUUUUUUGUUCAUUUUGUGUUUUGUAUAAAAAUUGCCUCACAAGAAAAUAUGAAUCCUGAUUUUUCUCCCAGUUUGGCAAUGUGCAUAAAGAGUUCUGCGGUACACAAUAUCCCUAUCAUCAUGCAGCAAAUGUGGCCUCUGCUAUCUUUUAUUUAAAGAGAUACUAGUAUUAUCCAAAGUUAAACAGUAUCCAUUGCGAAAAUAGCAAAAAUAUUUAGGAAUUUUCACAGUCUCGAGUAAACGCCAAUCGAAAGGGCAGAUUAUGUAAAUUCAAUUAGUUUACUUAGUAUUUUAUGUGAAAUUUCUUGUCUGGAAAGCCUUAAGAAACCGCGUUAAAUCACACGCAGGCAAAUAAGAGAAACUCCAUACAACUAAAUGCAUGUCCAUCCUACAAUCGUUAUAAAUAUCGCAUGUGUUCUUUGGCUGAAUCGUAUCGACAUCGUAAACAAAAAAAUGUCGGUUUGCAAGGAACAGGGUCAUUGCGCGUAAUUAAAGAAAUGAAAAACAAAAAAAAAAACUUUAAGGACUAAAUUAUUUAAUAAUAUUUGAAGUGAUCGUAUAUCAUUUUUGCUGACAAACUUUGAUCCUGUUCAACGGUUAAUCGCGUUAAAAAGGUUGGUUGUUGUAAAGUGGUACGGCAUCGAACAUGUUUUGCCUUACUCAUUCGAUGGAAGGAAAACGUUGUGUGAAACGAGCUGGUGGCGACCUUCUUUUGGACAAUAAACAAAUGUUGAGAAGCUGUUGCUGUUGUUCUAACUGUACCGUGGACAUCACAGAACACCAGUUCAUCAUUUGCUGCACGUCCAGAAAAAAGCGUCGUCGUCGUCUGCGGAUUCUUGUACAACACAUACACGUUCCAUGAAAUGCGGAAAGUUCGUGAAGGCAAAACGUAUCUAAGAAAGUGCCACAAACGCAUCGCAAUACCGCCGACAAAGGACACAUUUGCAACGUGGAUUUGUUUGUAUAAAAAUUGGAGGAUAUGCAUAUUAAUAUAAUGGUGAAGUGUAACCGACGGGCAUUUAUGGCCGUCAUAGAUACAUGAUGAAAACGACUCUUUGUUGUCAACAUGCCUGCGGUAGUGGUUUUACCUCCUGAACAUUGGCUGAUGGAUGCACGACGUCGGCGAACGGCGCACAAACUCUACCACCAAAUAGUUGGAUGUGCGCUGUACUCCACGCGAGACGCAUUUUACUCGAAACUCGUGCGGAAUCGAGCUGCAUCGUUCGUCCAUCUUGUGUCCAUUUAAUGUUGAUUGAGAGAGAGACAGAUUAGAGGGAAAAUACCCUAACUAUAUUUAGAGUUUUACCACAUGCUCUUCCACUCGUUUCGCUGAUCGUGACGAGAGAAGAGUGUGAAUAUAAAUCGACUAUUUGAAGAUGUGGACGGCAUCAAAUAUGUCAUUAACUUCGACUACCCACAAUCGUCAGAGGAUUACAUUCACAGAAUUGGACGUACUGGACGUUCCAACACAAAAGGCACUUCAUAUGCAUUCUUCACCAAAAAUAAUGCCAAACAGUCGAGAGCACUAGUUGAUGUUUUAAGAGAGGCUAAUCA